CAAGCUGAGCACGCUUAACUUUGGAGUUCUGUCCGAAUGGGCUCCCGGAAAAGAAGGAAUUCCUUAUUGAUAUGAGUAUUCUAUCAUCCCUAAUAAGCCAGGCCAUCAUAGUCCAUGGUCUAUGCCUCGAGAAGCAAAGAAGGGACUCCAACUACAUUGACACAGCAGCCGAGCAGAGCAUGAAAGCAUGUCGUUGAUACAAAUAUUCAGUUGCCACGGCCAUUGAUACAACAGCGGGGCAGAUCAUGAAUGUCAGAGACACGGUGGAGGUGACGCUACCUUUCUCAUCUUGGCAUCAUGCAGAUACUGGUAGUUUAGAUGUUAUUUGCCACACCGCGGAGAUCUCAUGUUCAAGCCCAUCGUAAGUGCAGAAUUUUGGUCGAUGUAAAUGAUUUUACUUGAGCUGACACUUCUCCUCCCGUCUCAUUUACCAUCAGUAUUGGAAUUGGAUGUCGUUCCUAUUACACAACAAAAUGGGCAAGGUUAGGUUGCGGUUCAGUGUGGCAUUCUGGCAUAUGUUUCGGGGUACUGGAGGAGAUCCUUUUGGUGCACCUACAAAGAACUGGCCUUGGGAGGAUGGCACAAAUUCCCUGGCCAUGGCUAAGAGAAGAAGUAUGGGAAUUACCUGAUCUUGUGUCUUAGGUCCAUGGCUGGAAUCGACAACUUAUGCUUCGAUUUCUGUUUCGGUGAUAUCUCAAUUCGAGUUCAUGAAGAAGCUUGGAGUUGACGGGUGGUGCUUCCAUGACAGGGACAUCGCCCCUGAUGGGAAAACAUUUCCGGUAUGAUUUUAUUAGAAUGAUUCUUGAAGUUGCAAGUUGCAACCUCGAGUUAGGGGAAUUGAGACGGGUAGUGACCAACAUUAGAGUAGGUUUAUUAUGAUUGUAUUUACAAGGGUACAUGACUAUGUUUUCAGCACAAGGAAUAUGGUAUGUACGUCGCAUCUUCUUGCAAUGGAUUUUGUUUUAUGGCUAUAUACAAAUUAUUUUGGUAUAGAUUUGUGAUUAUUGUUCCGUCCACUUAACCCAGUAUAUAGUAGCAGCUUUUG